AACGAACGCUGGCGGCGCGCCUAAUACAUGCAAGUCGAGCGAGAAGACGUAGCAAUACGUUUGUAAAGCGGCGAACGGGUGAGGAAUACAUGGGUAACCUACCCUCGAGUGGGGAAUAACUAGCCGAAAGGUUAGCUAAUACCGCGUACGCUCCUUGGACUUCGGUUCAGGGAGGAAAGCGAUACCGUGGGUAUCGCGCUCUUGGAUGGGCUCAUGUCCUAUCAGCUUGUUGGUGAGGUAACGGCUCACCAAGGCUUCGACGGGUAGCUGGUCUGAGAGGACAAUCAGCCACACUGGCACUGCGACACGGGCCAGACUCCUACGGGAGGCGGCAGUAAGGAAUAUUGCGCAAUGGGCGAAAGCCUGACGCAGCGACGCCGCGUGGGGGAUGAAGGUCUUCGGAUCGUAAACUCCUGUCAGAUGGGACGAACGAUCAUUGCCUAACACG
rnacentral:rRNA from 1 species